rnacentral:rRNA from 1 species
AUUGAACGCUGGCGGCAGGCUUAACACAUGCAAGUCGAGCGGGGGAGGUUGCUUCGGUAACUGACCUAGCGGCGGACGGGUGAGUAAUGCUUAGGAAUCUGCCUAUUAGUGGGGGACAACAUUCCGAAAGGAAUGCUAAUACCGCAUACGCCCUACGGGGGAAAGCAGGGGAUCUUCGGACCUUGCGCUAAUAGAUGAGCCUAAGUCGGAUUAGCUAGUUGGUGGGGUAAAGGACUACCAAGGCGACGAUCUGUAGCGGGUCUGAGAGGAUGAUCCGCCAGACUGUGACUGAGGCACGGGCCAGACUCCUACUGGAGGCAUCAGUAGGGAAUAUUGGACAAUGGGGGGAUGCCUAAUCCAGCCAUGCCGCGUGUGUGAAGAAGGCCUUUUGGUUGUAAAGCACUUUAAGCGAGGAGGAGGCUCUUAAGGUUAAUACCCUUGAUGAGUGGACGUUACUCGCAGAAUAAGCACCGGCUAACUCUGUGCCAGCCGCCGCAGUAACAC